UACGAAGGGGGCUAGCGUUGCUCGGAAUUACUGGGCGUAAAGGGCGCGUAGGCGGCACUGUUAGUCAGGCGUGAAAGUCCUGGGCUCAACCUAGGAACUGCGCUUGAUACGGCAGAGCUAGAGGAUGGAAGAGGCUCGCGGAAUUCCCAGUGUAGAGGUGAAAUUCGUAGAUAUUGGGAAGAACACCGGUGGCGAAGGCGGCGAGCUGGUCCAUUACUGACGCUGAGGCGCGACAGCGUGGGGAGCAAACAGG
rnacentral:rRNA from 1 species